AUGUCGAUGGACAGGGUUUUUCAUUAAUUCAAGGGACCACUCUGGAUUUUAUACUAACUGGGAGCUUGAUGGGAGGUAAUGGCAGCGGUGACGGAGUAGUAAAGGGACCGGACGUGUUACGAAAGAAGCGCCAGUGAGAGGGCAGAAUAGCAGGGUGGGAUGGAGAGGUGUGCUGGAUGAUUGCUGCAGGAGGAUGUUGCGCACUUCAAUUUACCUCCGGAGAGAACUGACACAUCCAGCCAAGGACUGACAUCUCCUGAUGUCAAAACCCCAAACCGACUGCAGUCGAUUGACCCAUUUAUUUUGCUUCAGAGGAACAGUAACAAUAAAUGUUCUUCAAUGGUGUGAUAUACUGGGCUCUAAGGAAAUAAAUAUAAUGGGAAAUAAAAACUAAAUAAAAAAAGGCAAUCUAAGAAAUUGGAAUAGCUUUAGUUCAAGAUACAUAUUGCUAUUUCUCUUUUCACAGAUAAUUACUUUCAACUUACAGGAAAAGGUAAGAGCACGUACACGUCACAGCAAACACAGCCGGCAACAUCUAGGACGAAUGGCACAACAGUGCACUAUCUAUAUUUAUUAUUGUUGAAAAGUCACAGUUGGCCAGUUGCAUAGUAUUCAAGUGCAACGUGGAGCAAGUGAUAAAUUAUAUACAUAUUAACAACCAAAAUGAUGAAAUCUGGUUCCAAAUAAAGUUCUUCCAAUUGCAAGACAUCAAAGUGUUACAAUAUUUCUGUACGGUCACUUUUUUCUGACUUUGUCCAACACUGUGAUGCCAUAAACUACUGAAG